UACGAACUGUGCAAACGUUAUUCGGAAUCACUGGGCUUAAAGGGUGCGUAGGCGGCUUGUUAAGUAGGGUGUGAAAUCCCCCGGCUCAACCGGGGAAUUGCGCCCUAAACUGGCGAGCUGGAGUGAGAUAGGGGUGUGUGGAACUUCCAGUGGAGCGGUGAAAUGCGUAGAGAUGCGGAGGAACACCGAUGGCGAAGGCAGCCCCCUGGGCUGACACUGACGCUCAGGCACGAAAGCGUGGGGAGCAAACAGG
rnacentral:rRNA from 1 species